GUGUAAUACAGUGCAUAAUAGUCUAUAGCAGAGACUUGCGCACUUCAACGAUUUUCUGCUUCUUGUUUAGAAGGAGCAUUUUGGGAUAUAAUCUUCCAAAAUCUAGUUUACCAAUAUCACAACAAAUAACACUUUAAACCAGUAGGUGUAGAGGCGCUUCAAAAUAAUACAAUAGGUGUGUAUAUGACUUUAGGUAUUUCCCAAAUCACCUUAACAUACAUGUAAAUAAAUGAAAUUGUAGUUGUUACACUACCUAUCAUACACAACACCCGGUACUAAAUAGAAGAUUGAAUAUACUUCACAGUAUGUUACAAGGUAGAUGUCCACAUAGAGGUG